AGUCGAACGAAGCACUUUAUUUGAUUUCCUUCGGGACUGAUUAUUUUGUGACUGAGUGGCGGACGGGUGAGUAACGCGUGGGUAACCUGCCUUGUACAGGGGGAUAACAGUUGGAAACGGCUGCUAAUACCGCAUAAGCGCACGGCAUCGCAUGAUGCAGUGUGAAAAACUCCGGUGGUAUAAGAUGGACCCGCGUUGGAUUAGCUAGUUGGUGAGGUAACGGCCCACCAAGGCGACGAUCCAUAGCCGACCUGAGAGGGUGACCGGCCACAUUGGGACUGAGACACGGCCCAAACUCCUACGGGAGGCAGCAGUGGGGAAUAUUGCACAAUGGGCGAAAGCCUGAUGCAGCGACGCCGCGUGAGCGAAGAAGUAUUUCGGUAUGUAAAGCUCUAUCAGCAGGGAAGAUAAUGACGGUACCUGACUAAGAAGCACCGGCUAAAUACGUGCCAGCAGCCGCGGUAAUACGUAUGGUGCAAGCGUUAUCCGGAUUUACUGGGUGUAAAGGGAGCGCAGGCGGUGCGGCAAGUCUGAUGUGAAAGCCCGGGGCUCAACCCCGGUACUGCAUUGGAAACUGUCGUACUAGAGUGUCGGAGGGGUAAGCGGAAUUCCUAGUGUAGCGGUGAAAUGCGUAGAUAUUAGGAGGAACACCAGUGGCGAAGGCGGCUUACUGGACGAUAACUGGCGCUGAGGCUCGAAAGCGUGGGGAGCAAACAGG
rnacentral:rRNA from 1 species